rnacentral:rRNA from 1 species
GCAGUCGAACGAGAACGGAUUAUAGCUUGCUAUAAUUGUCAGCUAAGUGGCGCACGGGUGAGUAAUAUAUAGGUAAUGUGCCCUAGAGAAGAGGAUAACAGUUGGAAACGACUGCUAAGACUCUAUAUGCCUUUAAGACAGAAGUCUGCAAGGGAAAUAUUUAUAGCUCUAGGAUCAGCCUGUACAGUAUCAGCUAGUUGGUGAGGUAAUGGCUCACCAAGGCAAUGACGCUUAACUGGUUUGAGAGGAUGAUCAGUCACACUGGAACUGAGACACGGUCCAGACUCCUACGGGAGGCAGCAGUGGGGAAUAUUGCACAAUGGACGAAAGUCUGAUGCAGCAACGCCGCGUGGAGGAUGACACAUUUCGGUGCGUAAACUCCUUUUAUAUGGGAAGAUAAUGACGGUACCAUAUGAAUAAGCACCGGCUAACUCCGUGCCAGCAGCCGCGGUAAUACGGAGGGUGCAAGCGUUACUCGGAAUCACUGGGCGUAAAGAGCGUGUAGGCGGAUAAAUAAGUCAGAAGUGAAAUCCAAUAGCUUAACUAUUGAACUGCUUUUGAAACUGUAUAUCUAGAAUGUGGGAGAGGUAGAUGGAAUUUCUGGUGUAGGGGUAAAAUCCGUAGAGAUCAGAAGGAAUACCGAUUGCGAAGGCGAUCUACUGGAACAUUAUUGACGCUGAGACGCGAAAGCGUGGGGAGC